GCCGAUGUAGCUCAGCUGGUAGAGCAAUCGCUUCGUAAGCGAUGGGUCGUCGGUUCGAAUCCGACCAUCGGCUCCA
rnacentral:tRNA from 1 species